rnacentral:rRNA from 1 species
UACGGGGGGGGCAAGCGUUGUUCGGAAUUACUGGGCGUAAAGGGCUCGUAGGCGGCCAACUAAGUCAGACGUGAAAUCCCUCGGCUUAACCGGGGAACUGCGUCUGAUACUGGAUGGCUUGAGUUUGGGAGAGGGAUGCAGAAUUCCUGGUGUAGCGGUGAAAUGCGCAGAUAUCAGGAGGAACACCGGUGGCGAAGGCGGGUCUCUGGGCCAUUACUGACGCUGAGGAGCGAAAGCGUGGGGAGCGAACAGG